rnacentral:rRNA from 1 species
CAGCCGCCGCGGUAAUACGUAGAGGGCGAGCGUUGUCCGGAAUCACUGGGCGUAAAGGGUACGCAGGCGGAAAUACAAGUCAAAUGUGAAAGGUACCGGCUCAACCGGUGAAAUGCAUUUGAAACUGUAUAUCUUGAGUAUAGGAGAGGAGAGCGGAAUUCCUGGUGUAGCGGUGGAAUGCGUAGAUAUCAGGAAGAACACCAGUGGCGAAGGCGGCUCUCUGGCCUACAACUGACGCUCAUGUACGAAAGCUGGGGGAGCGAACGGGAUUAGAUACCCCGGUAGUCCCAGCCGUAAACGAUGGACACCAGGUGUUGGGGGUUCGAAUCCUUCAGUGCCGCAGUUAACGCAAUAAGUGUCCCGCCUGGGGAGUACGGUCGCAAGACUGAAACUCAAAGGAAUUGACGGGGGCCCGCACAAGCGGUGGAGCAUGUGGUUUAAUUCGAUGCAACGCGAAGAACCUUACCGAGACUUGACAUCCCGUGACCAUCUACGAAAGUAGAGUCUAGCUUCGGCUACACGGAGACAGGAGGUGCAUGGCC